UCACGAAAGACCCCAGAGGGUCCAUCUGCGCCGGGAUAAGUGAAGAAUUGGGAUCUGAGGAAUACAUCAUUAUGAAGAAGAAUGCUCCCCAAAGCAUACACCUUCUAACUGGAAAGGUCAAUAUAAAGAGUGGAGAUGCUGCCGUCUAUUUUUCCACAGAAGAGUGGAAUAUAUAGAGAGACACAAGGAGUCUUACAAUGAUGUUAUGAUGGAGACCCUCUGUAGUUUGGGAAUACCAACCAGCAAGACCUCUGGUGGGAGUAAGCCAGGGUUUGAACCAGACAUUGAUCAGAAUGAACCAUGUGCAGUAAUAUAUGUGGACGAUAAAGAGGAAGAAAUAUGUAUAAAUGGUGACUCAGGUGAAAAGAAAGAGCCAAGAAGAAGACAUACAUACAAUUGUGUUUUUUGCCAGUGGAGCCAAGUAAUAAAUAAUCAGUAUUUAU